rnacentral:lncRNA from 1 species
UGACUGGUGUUUCAGAAAGAUCAAGAACUUCAAGCCUUGUGAGCUUUUCCAAGCCUGACGUGUCUUCUAUGUGUGACCACCCUCUCAACGACAACUGGGUUAAGUUAGUUAGGAAGAAGACAUCUAUGUAAAUAGGAGUUUUAGACAGGUUGAGAAUCCGAAGGUUCCUCAUAUAACUAAGUAAAUCACUCAUCAAAUAAAGUUUUCCAAGAGGAGGAUAUCUUAUAUUAGAAAUAUUGAGCUCCUCAAGAUUUGAUAGAGACCCUAUAAUGGGAAAGUAAACAUCCCGAAUUCCACAAAGUCUUAGUAUCCGAAGUUGAGACAAACCCAAAAGAGUAUGGGAAUACUCACCAUGUAAUGACAAAUCAGUGCAACCUGAAAGAUCAAUCACUUCCAGAUUUUUGGGGACAGCUGGCAACCGGCUAAGGGAGGAACAACCACGUAGGAUAAGCUGGCGCAUAUUUGGGAACUGGCUGUAAUCAAAACCUGUCAGAGAACGUGCAUUAGUGAGGUCAAGUACCUCAAGCCUUGCAAGUCCUUCCAUUUCUGGGAGAUGCUCUAAGAAUUUGCAUUCCCUUAAAAUGAUAGUGUGAAGGUUAGGAAGGUGGGAGAGUGAUGGUAAAGACCGAACUUCGGUAUCUGAGAGGUUUAGGCAACGAAGGCACCCCAAAUGUUGAAAGGAUUGAUCUUCAAUUUCAACUACAUUAGAGGAACCAGAAACAUCAAGAAAUUCAAGGUCUCUACAAGCUUCUGUACUUGGCAGCUUUGUCAGUCUAGUACAAUUUCUUAGCAAAAUAUGAGAAAUGUUGCAAGUGAUAGAAGGGUAGGCAUACAAGUCAGUUUUAGAUAAAUCAAGAACUUUAAGACUAGGUGAAAUGUCAUCAUAGAUCUCUUUUAAACAAAUAGCACCAGAAAGAUCAAGAACUUGGAGAUUAGAAAGCCCUUUUAUCCUUGAAAGUCUAGUUAAGGAUUUACAAUUUCUCAAGACAAGCUGUGUUAGCUCUUCGAGACCAGAUAGAAUUGGUAGGCGAUCAAUCUGCGAAUGAGAAACAUCAAGGAUCUUGAGUUUUGGUAACUGAUAAAAGGUUUUAUCAUAGAAUUUUUCAAAACAUGAAGCACCAUUAAGGUCAAUGACCUCAAGCUUUUUCAAGGCACUUAGUCGUGGAAGCAUUUUCAGGUGGCGACAUCCUCUCAAGAUAAGCCAGCGUAAUUCAGUUAAGUUGGAAAUAGAAAUAGGUAACCUUUCAACCCGUGCUCCACAGAAGUUGAGACUUUGGAGUUGAAGCAUAUGCUGCAAAAAAUCAUCUGGAAUUGUUGUCAAUGAUAUAGCACCAGAUAUCUCGAGAGUAACUAAUGAUUUGAGUCCUUGUAUCUGAUUAAUAUUCUCCAGAAACUCACAGCCCCGUAAGAUAAGCAUUGUAAGCUCUUGCAUGUGUGAAAAGGAUGCUGGCAGAGAUUUGAGCAUGGGAUUGAAGAUGCCAAGAACACUGAGACCAUUCAGGCGAUGAAAGAAUGCAUCCGGGUCUUCCUUGCCUAGACAAUUACCGUCAAGCAAUAAUGUUGAGAUUUUCUCUGAUUUGCUGCUAUAUCCAACCGUUCUUAUUACACCAUCAAUUACUGCAAUGUCCCCAAAUCCUUCCCACAUUUUGUCCUCCAAAGCAGGAAUCAUAGAGCAGAUCUCUGUAUCUAUAAAUCUUUGGAAAUCCGUACCUGAAUAAUGUCCUCCAUCUCUGUUCUUUUCGUAAAUCAGAUAAUCUUCUAAACCUCGUAUCCACCAACAAGGCAGUUUCAUUGCACAUCCCACCAUUACAACACAGUUGGACUCCACAUGCCUGAGAAGGCCUAGAUUUAUAAGGUCCACGAGAACCGAGUAACCCUUCUUAAAAGCAUCCUCAAUACAAUCAAUAGGACCAAGACAACCUUCCAUAAUCCAGUGGGCUAUCAAUUGAGUGAAAUUAACAGGACCAUUCAUGUGAAUGUACUGCCAGCUGUGCCAGAAACAAUGAAUUAGAUCAUUGGUUGGCAUAACUGCAUGUGCAAUUUGGAGAAAACAAAGGAAUAAUGCUAGAGGCAUCAGUAAUUGUUGGGACUGCUCCAAACUUUUCUCUCGAAGCCCGAUGUUUAUAUUCCAUAAUAUAAUUUAAUGCUUCUGCCAUAGCCUCAAUCUUAGCAGGAUUACCCUCACUUUCUUCAUGGAUACCUCUAAAUAGCAGUUUAAAAUCUGGAUCUCUAACCUUUUCUUGCAAAAGAUUGAUGGUCUCUGUAGCAGACAAGGGUUCAAUCUCCAACACCUUCGCGUAAGGACCAUCAUUAGGUUUUCCAGAGUAAUCUAUGGUAGUCACCAAGACUUUAAAUGAAGGCUGCUUAAAAUCAGGAACCAAGGAUUCAAAUUCUGAUACAGUUUCAUAUGCUUCCACUCCCUUACAAAAUCCAUCCAAGAUUAGAAGACACCUCUUCUUACCAGUAGCUGCUGAUAUUUUCUGUUUCAGAUUAGCUUCCGCCUGCAUCUCCUCGUACUCAUCGUCAUCACCAUCGUCAUCCGCAUCCCACUCCUCAGUUGGAAGACAUAUAGGCAACUGAGCAGCAAUCCUCUCAAGCGGAGAUUCCUUGUCAUGUUUUCUGCUCAUAGACAGCCAAAAACAUAAAUCAAACUGACUUUCUUGCUUUACAAUAUCAUGAACCUUUUUCGCCGUCCAUGUUUUCCCUAUUCCUGGUUUCCCAACAAGACAUACUACUUUAACAUGGUCAUCGCACAGCUCUUUCAGUAUGAAUCGUACGCGCAAAUCCAGUGUGUCCCCGUUAUCCAUGGCCGAUCCUGUUGCAAAAUGUUCGUAUGAGGAAGUAUCUUCCUGUUAGGCACCAGUAAAUAAGAAACAAGCAAUCACAGAGUCAAGAUAUACGACGAUAAGGUGAUUGAAGUUACAGCUUGAGAUUAUAGGAGUUACGGUAAGAAUGGUGGAAGAGAAUGUUCCUUAAGAUAACUAAGAGCAAAGUUAGUUUCUAUAUGCAAAAACAAUUCAGAUCUAAAGCUGUCCAAGAUAAAUAAGAGAAAAUUUCAAGUGUGGUGAAUAAUCAUGAAGAAGAGUGAAGAAAAAAAAAAAAAAAAAAAAAAACCUGCAGAUUUCGAUUGGCUACUCCGACAGAAGCAAUAUCAGCUAGCAGGAGCUUCUUCUGGGCGAAGAUAAAAUUAUGUGUACUCCGACAAGACAAAGUGGAUUAGAUCACACCCAAUAAACUAUAUAUAUGGAAUUAAAUAUAAUUUAAUCUGAAGUUUUAUGUAAAGCCAACUCAAUUUUAAAAUGUUAUAAAUAAUUAAUUAUUAUAAGCAUUUUCACUUUUAUUUUAUUUUAUUAUUAUUAUUUUAAUUAUAAAUAAUUAUUAUAUCUAUUUAGAUUAAAAUAUACGAGUAACAAAAGCCGGUUAAAAUUUUUUUAACCCAGAAUGAAAUUAAUUUUUUUUUUAUUAAAUUAAAUACAACCAACUAAAACUAAAAUUUUAUUGUAAAAUAUAUAUUAUCGUAUCAAUUUUAUUUUAAAACCAUAAGGAUUAAAUAUAUAAAAAUUUCUAAAAUAUAUAUUAUCCAAAGAGCAUGUUAUCCUUCAUAGGUUGCUGAAUCAUGUCUUAAACAGUAUAUGAUUCUGUCUACAAGAUGGUUGCCCAAAAUCAGAAAGUGCUUCUUUUGCUGCAAAGAACUGGGCAUGAUUAGGACUCACGAACACUGCAAUCUUUAAAGAAAAACUCGUAAUAUUAUAUGUUCAAUCCCUCAGGGUUCCACCAACUCCUGAUUUCGCCAACAAAGAGGAGCCAUCGACAUCGAACACCCACAGACGAACAAGAGAAGGAAUCCAUGCGUCGGCUCUUUUGCUCGAAACACAGCCCAACUCUGGAAUUAGAUGAGCAGAUGUUACUUACUGAAAAUAUCUUUAAAGACUAAAUUUUGAUUGACAUAAUUACAACAGCACAAACAAAAGCAUGAUAAAAGCAGAUUACUACGAAGCCUACAUAACCCACAAUUACACUUAUUAGCGACGCGUCAAGCCUUCACUCCAUAUAUGUAUCCUCAAUAGCAGAUUAUGCAGCAAAUUUAAUACCAAAUACAGCAGCAUUUGCACCAGACUAUAUAAUCAUCUCAUCUUUUAUGUAAAAAAGCUUGAGCUUAAAUCAAACAAGCAAUUUUCACUUGAAAUCUUAUCAACAUGUUACUCAAUCUUACAUCCACUGCGAAGAUCAUAAAAACCAAAUCCACAACAGCCACAAACACAAACUCUGACCUACCAGCAACUUUACCAUCAGAGAAAACCAAUGAAAAAAUUACAUUUCAACAGCCAAUCUGCUUCUUCCUUCAUCCUCCAAGGAUUUUUUGUACACGCUGAAAAUUCACAAUUUCCUCAUAUCCCAGACAAACUCAAAAAAAAUUAAAGCUUCAAGAUGAAACAGACUUGAGUCCCCAACACAUAACAGCAGCAACCACCUGUUAGCUAGCUAGCCGAAUUCUUCCAACCUUUAAACUGCAGGAUAACCACCCAACGCCUCAUAAAAAUCACUUUCACAAUUCAGCAAACCAGAGCAUAUUCUUCAUGAAGUAGCAACGUGAUGACAAAACCAGCACCAAAAACAAGAAAAUAGACAGCUCCAAAGCAGUAGAAACGAUAGGUCCGCUUCUCAUCAUUUAAAAAAAAAAAACAAAGCGUCAUAGUACCUGUAGAACGAAACAAGUUAACUGGGUGCAGACAAAUUACCUGCAAAAACUUACACGUCAUAAGACCAACAACGUCAUUGAGCAUUUAAAUUUAAAUGUUAUAUAAAAAAACUAUUUUAGAUUUUCAUUUCAGAGAGAGAAAGUUUACAGAAUGUUGUACUUAAAGACUCAAAAGUCAUCUAUUACGAAAUUGUUUUUGGGUAUCAUAAAAAAUUAGAUUGGGUAUUUAACUACCACAAGUUCUCUUAAUAGAAGUUUCAAAGAGCAGCAGCCUGAAAACUUGCAGCUAUUGGAGUGAUGCUGAAAUUUACCCUGUUAAAGGACUAUUCUUUUUAAUGCUGAAAUUUACCUUGUUAAAGGAUUGCCUUUUUAAAUGUUGAAACUUUGUCGGGAAAAAUUAAUCUCUAAAACAUGCACAAUCACGUUAAAAUAGAAGUAGAAAGAAAAAGGACACAAGGUUUUACGUGAUUUGGCAGUGUGCCUACAUCUACGGGUAAAACCGACAAGAAAGUAUUUUAUUAUGUAAUCUCAAAGUACAUCACCAAUAAAUUAACAAACUUAUUUCUAAAGAAACUAAUAAAUUUUUUUACAAACAAAAAUUAUUUAAAAUAUAUUACCCGAAUUUUUUUAUUCAUUUCGUCUCUUCAACAUAGGACAAUCUCUCCUAAAGUGACUAUUCUCCUCACAAUCAAAAUAGUUUUCCUUUUUACCUCUAAAUUUUGAUUUGCUCAUUCUCUAUGCUCUUUCCCUGCUUACCAAACCUUCCCCUUUUGUUAUAUACUUUAUAAAAUUCUUUUGCAACUCUUUUGACUUUAGUGCAUUGCUAACAUCAUUUAGUAAAAUACUAAGUUUUCUAUUUAGUAAAGCAUCAACAAAAGUUUUAUAAGAGUAUGGUAAUGAACACAGAAUAAUUAAUGUUUGAUUCUCAUUUUCAAUCUUAAUACCUAUGUUAUUAAGUUCUUAAUUAAAGAAUUAAACUCAUCAAAAUGUUAUUUAAUGGGCGUACCUUCACUCAUUCUUAGAUUGUACAACCUUAUCUUCAAAUAAAGACGAUUCGUCAGUGAUUUUAUAGAGUACAACCCUUCCAGUUUCUUCCACGCAGUUGAAGCCGAAUGCUCUUCAAUAACUUCUCGUAGAACAUUGUCAUUCAUGCUCAUAAAAAUUGCACAUACGGCUCUAUCCUGCAUAUUUAUCUUUUCCGAGUCUCUCAUACUCUCAGGAUAUCUUUCUUCAAUUGCCCCCCAUAUAUCUUGUAAAACCAGAUACGAUCUUUUUUUAAUCUUCAGCAGAAUAAAACUCAUACCACCAUCAAACUUCUCUAUCUUUUACUUUGUGGAUGUCAUCUUGAAUCCCUAUACUGUGCACCAAAAACCAAACUGAGAGAAAUAACACUAUUAGAAAACAAAAAACCACUCAUAUGGAGUCACUACUGCACAGAAAACCAUCACACGUAACCACUGGAGCUCCGACACGAGCCGUUGCGUGCCGUUACACGCCGCCAUGCGCUCCUCCACACGUCAUCACACACGAAGCCCCCGGGGAUAUCACGCACCGCCGCUGUUUGCCGCUCAUCGCAGCCGAAAAUGACUAAAAAACCAUAGAAAAUGCGAACGAUUCCAAACCCAACACUGAUCUGGUGAGAUCGCAUCGAGGGACACCGGAAAUCACCGUCACGCAAGACAGGCCGUCGCGCAUCUUGUUCUUCUCCAACGAUCUUCUGUCGCUCCAUCUCUCUCCAGAUCUUCUAAUUUCAUGCACAGACGAGACCAAAUGUUGCCGAUCCACCUUCGGUUUCUCUUCUCCGACCCUCCUCACGCGAAGUUGAUUUUUUCUUCUGGUGGCCGUGGAUCGGUUGUCUUCUCCGAGCCAUGCGGUUCCUCUUCUCGAUAUGAAUGUUCUGCUCUGGCCACGCUGAAGAAAUCGUCCUGCACCAUGAUAGAAAUCGAGCUUCUUCCGCCGCCGGCAUGCAAGAAACACACAGAUCGGAUUUGAUAUGGUCGCACUUCGUCUUCUUCGUCGGAAACCCGCCAGAGACUGUUUGGUUGUACAAGUCCGGCCGAAUAGGUUCUUCACAGAUCUGAUUGUGACUUUUCAACUUCUUCUAACUUUCUCUCACUAAUCCGUGUUCAAACUCGAGCUCUUAUACCACUUGUUGGAGAAAAUUAUUUCCUAAAGCAAGUACAAUCACAAUAAAAUAAAAGUAAAAAGAAAAAGGACACAAGAUUUUACCUGAUUUGACAAUGUGCUUAAAUCUAGGGACAAGAUUGGUAAAAAAGUAUUUUAUUAUGUAAUCUAUAUCACCAAUAAGUUAGCAAAUCUAUUUAUAAAGAAUAUAGCAAAAUUUUUCACAAACAAAAACUCUUUAAAAUAUACAUCAAAUAUUUCUCAUAAUAAAUAUAAAGAAAAUCCAAAUGAAUUAUUCCGCAAAAUAUAAAUAAAUAUCACCAAAAUUCAAGACACAUCAACAAACUUAUUAAUAGAUCCUCUCAAACAGUGAAAUUAUACAAAUGAUGUGAAAGGCAAGGAAGAAAAACACUGUUUCACAGUACUAUCAUCUUCAAUAGUAACAUAAAAAAAUGCACACCAAACACAAACACAUACAAGAGGGCAAUUCAUCAAAGAAGGAACAAUAUUCAGCUUCCUUGAUACAACAAGACAAGAAUUGCAUGCCGGAGAUUGUAUGGGGCAGAAGAAAUGGCGGAAAAAUAGUAGAAAAAGAGAGAUUGAACAAUAAAUUUCAAGUAGAAAUUACUUGAUGCAUGGAUCAUUCUUCUAAAUAUAUUCCAACUUUGAUGCAAGAGAUAUCAAGUAGAAAUUACAAUUGUUAACAAGUAUAGUUGAUAAGUAUGCUUAUAAAUUGCUAAAAGUAAUAGCAUGCUCUGCUGCCAUUAGAUUUUAAUAUAAAAAAGAAAAUAACAAACCCAGGGCAUUAAUUAAAUACAUACAAUGACAUAAAACUGCAAUCAUAACAAACCUGGAGUUAUUUUUCAAAGUUCUGGAAGCCUUCAUUCAUGUGUAAUUUCAUUUGCUCAGUAAUUUCAUUUGUUCACUUCUGAGAGGCCAUGUGUUUUCUACGGGGAGGGAGCUUUGGCAACCCAAGACAUGCCUGACUGUCAUCAGAUUGUUCCUCAACUCCAGAACUCUUGGUCAUAAUCCAGUUUUGUAUUGACCGAACAAAAAGAAAGAAGCACGUAAAAAAUUCAUCAAGUUUUGGGCAUUCUCCCCCUGUUAAUCUUUCAAGAGAAGGCAAUGCAGCUCCGAUGCUUUUCAACUCCGGCAGCUCAAACAAAUGCAGAGUCCUUAGAUAUUUCAUUGCAGGCACGGUUGUUCCAUCAAACUCAAAAACACGUUUGAGAUUAUCACAAAACCUAAUCUCAAGAGUCUGAAGAUUCAUUGGUUGUCGGGACAAGGAGAAAACAAUUUCCAGUAGUGGACAACAUUCUAGAUACAGAUGCUUAAGAUUACUGAAUCUCUCAAUUUGCAAAUUCUUGUUGAAUAUACUCUUCAAAUUAGGGAGGUUAAGAAUCUGCAGAAUCUCAAGUUUGUUUGACACUCCAAUGGCUUCCUCUUCUCUACUGAAAACACUCUCCACGUUGCUGCAUCUCUCCAUGCAACAGCCUCUCAUUGCGCUGAUAUUGUUUGCACCUAAUUCAGAUAACCAACUGAUAUUUGCAUUAUCUCGCAAACAUAUAUAUUGAGCACGCCUGAGAACACCCUCCAGACCGAGGAAAGGACUGCAAGACCGAAUUUUCCAAAGACUGCCUGUGGAUUUCCGAGUAACUAGGAAAACAUCUGGUCCUUGUGUAAAUAUCACUAAAUUUGGCUUCAUCUCUGUGGCUAAAGAAAUCUCCAUCUUCACCAUGCUUUAUUGGAGGUAAAACAGAAAAAUGAAAUUGCUUGAUGUAUGCAUCCCAUAACAUUGGGAUUGUUGUCCAACAUUUUGAAAAACUUCCUGCCACGAACCAUUAUGUGGAGAUUAUUUGCACUCAAUGGAAAUAUUUUUGCCGCCCCAAAGAUGCCACAAUCAACCCAAUUUAGUUCCUCUGGUAGGCGCUUUAUCCUCCUCCAAUUAAUUUCUUCAGUAUCCUUCAGGAGGGGGAGAUAAAGUUGUUUAAGGCAAGGCAACUCUGAGAUCUCAUAUGGAAAUUCUUUUAUCCCAGUACCCCUUAGAUCAAGAACCUCCAAGUGACUAAGUGAUUCCAAAUGCUGCAGCUUCUUCAGGCACCAACAAUCUCUUAGCAAUAGCCUGCAGAGGUUGCAAAAGAAGUUCAAGGAAGGAAGGUGUUUGACUGGUGUUUCUGAAAGAUCAAGAACUUCAAGCCUCGUAAGCUUUUCCAAGCCUGACAUGUCUUCCAUGCGUGACCACCCUCUCAAUGACAACUGGGUUAAGUUACUUAGGAAGAAGAUAUCUAUGUAAAUAGGAGUUUUAGACAGGUUGAGAAUCCGAAGGUUCCUCAUAUAAUUAAGUAAAUCACUCAUCGAAUGAAGUCCUCCAGGAGGAUGUCUUAGAUUAGAAAUAUUGAGCUCCUCAAGAUUUGAUAGAGACCCUAUAAUGGGAAAGUAAACAUCCCGAAUUCCACAAAGUCUGAGUAUCCGAAGUUGAGACAAACCCAAAAGAGUAUUGGAAUACUCACCAUGUAAUGACAACUCAGUGCAACCAGAAAGAUCAAUCGCUUCCAGAUUUUUGGGGACAGCUGGCAACCGGCUAAGG